GGGCCGUUAGCUCAACUGGCAGAGCAGCGGGCUCUUAACCCGCGUGUUGGGGGUUCGAGUCCCUCACGGCUCA
rnacentral:tRNA from 1 species